rfam:Octopus bimaculoides Scaffold11985_contig_192, whole genome shotgun sequence.
UAGCUUAAUGGUAAAGCACUUGACUGGUAAUCACAGGGAUGUGAGUUCAAGUCUCAU